rnacentral:rRNA from 1 species
UACGAAGGGGGCUAGCGUUGUUCGGAUUUACUGGGCGUAAAGCGCACGUAGGCGGAUCGUUAAGUCGGGGGUGAAAUCCUGGAGCUCAACUCCAGAACUGCCUUCGAUACUGGCGAUCUUGAGUCCGGAAGAGGUGAGUGGAACUCCUAGUGUAGAGGUGGAAUUCGUAGAUAUUAGGAAGAACACCUGUGGCGAAAGCGGCUGCAC